GACAGGAAAGGGGAGACAGCCCUGUGUCUCCUACGUUCAGAAGAACACUGAGGUAGAGCAAAAAAUCAAUGGCCGAGAUAUCAUUUCGGCCGUCAUUUAUUUUUAUUGGAGAUUCGAUUGUUGCUCGUUUACUU